rnacentral:rRNA from 1 species
UGGGGAAUAUUGGACAAUGGGGGGAACCCUGAUCCAGCCAUGCCGUGUGUGAAGAAGGCCUUAUGGUUGUAAAGCACUUUAAGCGAGGAGGAGGGUACUGGUAUUAAUACUACCAGGUACUGGACGUUACUCGCAGAAUAAGCACCGGCUAACUCUGUGCCAGCAGCCGCGGUAAUACAGAGGGUGCGAGCGUUAAUCGGAUUUACUGGGCGUAAAGCGUGCGUAGGCGGCUAAUUGAGUCGGAUGUGAAAUCCCCGAGCUUAACUUGGGAAUUGCAUUCGAUACUGGUUAGCUAGAGUGUGGGAGAGGAUGGUAGAAUUCCAGGUGUAGCGGUGAAAUGCGUAGAGAUCUGGAGGAAUACCGAUGGCGAAGGCAGCCAUCUGGCCUAACACUGACGCUGAGGUACGAAAGCAUGGGGAGCAAACAGG